rnacentral:lncRNA from 1 species
GUGCCAAUUGACUUGGUGUUUAUUGCUAUGGCCGGACGUUUGUAAUGGUACUUCAGCUAGAGACAAUCGUAAGUGCAUUUCACCUUGGAUUAUCCGAACUCAAGGUUGGGAAUGUUUGAUUGUUGAGAAAGUGCAUAUGGAUAAAAGAUAAAGGAAAGAUUUCAGAAUACAGACAUAUACGUUUAUAGAAAUUAAUAGAAAGGAACACAUGAAUUACAAUAAUUUAUAACUAACGACACACAGAAUGCAAACGUACACAUAGACAAAUGUUAGCUUAAGUAAGACAACAAACCAACAAUGAACAAAAAAUAUGUAAAACGACAAAU